CUUGAAGGGUAUAGUGAUGCGAAUUGGAUCUCUGAUGCUGAUGAGAUGAAGGCCACAACUGGGUAUAUGUUUACUCUUGGAGGUGGCGCUGUUUCCUGGAAGUCUUGCAAGCAAACGAUCUUAACGAGAUCGACAAUGGAAGCAGAAUUAACGGCAUUAGACACAUCUGGUGUUGAAGCGAGAUGGCUUCGAGAUCUUUUGAUGGACUUGCCAUUGGUUGAUAAACCGGUUCCGGCUAUCCUUAUGAACUGUGACAAUCAGACUGUCAUCACCAAGGUGAAGAGUUCAAAGGACAAUAUGAAGUCCACCAAACACAUAAGAAUGAGA
rnacentral:rRNA from 1 species